CACGCCGACCAUCUCGAUUCGGCCCUUUCAAUCAGGUUUUGAGCGUGUAACGUUAAUCCCAAGCCGGGACCACGACGGCCCGCUUUAUUCCACCGUGCUAUAUAAAACGAGCCAAACGGGCGGCGGCAGAGCAGCACAAAGGCACGGGGCGAUAAGAAACAAGAGGAACGUCUACCCUUGCAGCGCUCGUUACGGGCAGCAUAACCAUAAAGGUCCGGCGGAAAACGAGUUUUCAUGGACAUAAGGGUGUAACGCAAAACGGGACCGACCGGCCCGCCAUUUCAUCCGCCUUGUGCGCCUCUAUAGCGUCCUUGUGUUUCUCAUCUUUCAGGAACGGCCACCGAAGCCAAGGCCAAACAUUUUCGACGAUACACUUCCGGUUAUACGUUCCUGUAUGUCUACUGCAUUCUGUGCGCCAGUGCGCGCCCAUGUAUAUGUUCCAAGUGAGAAUUCGUUUCAAGUGGAUCCGCCUUGCGAACUAUACAAGGCUAGAAUUCGUGAAUCGCAAUCUGGAACAUGAGGUAACUUACAUUAAAAAAUUAUUUAACUUUCGUUAAUUAGUCGGUUAUGCAUUUCAAUUUUUUUGUGCAAGCAAUGUACGCCUCUUCGGGUGUACCAGCUCAUGAACUAGAAUUGUGCUAUCUGCCACAGGCAACCCUUAAACAUUUUUGGAAGUGUUCGCUGAAACACCCGGUAUAGCUAAUAAGCCACGACGGCGAGUUGGCUUCAAGCGGCUUCGUAACUUUGCAAAUUGGCCACUUUCAAACACGAUUUUGCGUAAUUAAAUGCAGCAAUUCGCAAUAGUUCUGCACGUGCUUAGAGUCUCAUUGCAUUCUGCGUUCAGAAACGCAGCACCUGCUUCAAAACAGAGGCCAAUCAAACGCGGAUAAACCGCAGUAUAAACAAAGCCGAAAGAACGUCUGGAGUCACACGCACGAACACCGCAGACAAUAAUCCAUCCUAAUGUUUUGACAGGAAACUCAAUGGCGUAUACCCACUAUAUAAGCGCUGCGGCCUCUGUCCCGCCGUGUCGUCACCGUCAGCAAAAAAGCGCGAGACAGCGACGGACGGCACUGACUGCGCGUGCGCGCGGCGCGCGUCACGUAGAAAGACGUGACACCACGCACGCGCACAAGCUUGAGCGCCGUGAUCGGUCUCCGCACUUCUCAACCCAUCACGCUGAAGCCACACCUCGAAAGCGCCGUUACGUGGAGGAGACCCACACGUAGACACCACGACACCAUGCACACGUACCACGGCAAUCUGUAUGACUUGGGAAGACCUGUGCCCCGUUCUUGCAGCAACAGUACCGGAGCCCGCGAAUGCCUCCACGACGCAUGAAAAGCCCUCAGCUGCGAGCGCCCCGGUCCGGAGAAGGAGUCGCGGCUACGCCCACCAAUUGAAAUUACGCAGUCUCCGUGCGAAUAGGACGGCCUGAGCAAAAACCUGCCAGCGCGCGCAAAUCUCGGAAGCUAUGCGAAGACAUGCGGAGCUCAACAUCGGCUCUGUCGACGCUGCAGCCAACGCCGCGUUCGACGGUGUGCUGUCGCAGCUUUCGGGACGUCACAAGCGGGGCGGGAAACGUCAUAAGCGGGAAGCUGACACACGUGACCCUACGGUACAGAAGCGGGACCGGCGCAGAAACCGUGAGAACGUAACAAGUACAGCAAACAGGAACGUGCCAACGAGGUUCCACUGCAUAUCUGGAAUGCAAGCUGCACAUUUUGCAAAAGUUGCUCACUUAGCUACUCGUAUAGCUACAUCAGACAUUUAGGUCUGCUUAAUAAAACGUUGUGUUUGUGUGAGUGU